AUUGAACGCUGGCGGCAUGCCUUACACAUGCAAGUCGAACGGCAGCACGGAGCUUGCUCUGGUGGCGAGUGGCGAACGGAUGAGUAAUAUAUCGGAACGUACCCAAGAGUGGGGGAUAACGUAGCGAAAGUUACGCUAAUACCGCAUACGAUCUAAGGAUGAAAGUGGGGGAUCGCAAGACCUCAUGCUCCUGGAGCGGCCGAUAUCUGAUUAGCUAGUUGGUGAGGUAAAGGCUCACCAAGGCACCGAUCAGUAGCUGGUCUGAGAGGACGACCAGCCACACUGGAACUGAGACACGGUCCAGACUCCUACGGGAGGCAGCAGUGGGGAAUUUUGGACAAUGGGGGCAACCCUGAUCCAGCAAUGCCGCGUGAGUGAAGAAGGCCUUCGGGUUGUAAAGCUCUUUCGGCCGGAACGAAAUCGCCUUCGUUAAUAGCGGAGGUGGAUGGCGGUACCGGAAGAAGAAGCACCGGCUAACUACGUGCCAGCCGCCGCAGUAAUAC
rnacentral:rRNA from 1 species